rnacentral:piRNA from 1 species
UCUUGAUGCUCCCUUUUCUCUAAUCACUC